rnacentral:rRNA from 1 species
UACGUAGGGUGCGAGCGUUGUCCGGAAUUAUUGGGCGUAAAGAGCUCGUAGGCGGUGUGUCACGUCGGCCGUGAAAACCUGCAGCUUAACUGUGGGCGUGCGGUCGAUACGGGCAUCACUGGAGUUCGGCAGGGGAGAGCUGGAAGUUCCUGGUGUAGCGGUGAAAUGCGCAGAUAUCAGGAGGAACACCGGUGGCGAAGGCGGGUCUCUGGGCCGAUACUGACGCUGGAGGAGCGAAAGCGUGGGGAGCAAACAGG